CUUUGGGAGGGUAGACAGUUCUUUUUUGCUUUUAUUUUUACAUUCUCUAAAUAGCAGAGUUGUUCUGAAUAACAAUCUUUUGUGGACUAAAAGCACCAAGGAUUAAAGAUCAGGGAGAAGAGCAGUGUUCGUGAAGUGCAAAAGCUGGUGUAUUGCAGAGCCUUGAUAACCACAGAUGAGCUGGUAAUUAACAUCCUUGCUUCCCAGGCAAAGGGGCAAUUGGUCUUCCGAAGGCAUAACCUACUGUUCUCUUUCUCUCCCUCUAUGAAAGUAGCUGAUUUAGUCAGAAAGGUGACAGUUAAGGCUCUUUGCUGGCAGAAUUUUUGCAUCUUCCCGGGGCCUCGUUCCCCGACUUUACCACAGAGGCUGUCCAUCAGGGUUGUUAUGUAUGCAGGCUGAGUGAGCCCGCAGGGGAUCCUAGUUAUUUACACUCUUUUUCAAGCUUCGAAGCUGUUAUAAUCAUUCGCUGUCAACUUUGUGCUGACGCUGAAUUUUACUUUGUGUUUUUUAUGCUCGGUUUGGGUCUAAAAUACUGGCAUCCAUACCCUACACUGUAAUUCCAUGGAUGACUGAGCUGGCCAGCCGUAUCCUGCCUGACUAACAGGGCCCGGGAAUCCUGCUACAUAUGGAAAUUUCAGGAUUUGUUGAUUGUGGACAAUAAACAGAGUCCUCCAGCUUUGUGCAUUUAUCCAGGCAGUGGCCCUCAAGAAUAAGCUGUGUACCCUGUUUCAUCUCAAUGCAUUUUCAUCUUUAAGAACAGCAUUUCUCUUACAAGGACAAAGCAAAAAUGGAAUGAUAUCCUGGAUGAAGUAUGCAUCUCUCCUCACCCACUGAUGAUCUGCUGUAUCUGCUGGGUUUAUUCCUAGCAUGCUCACUCCUCUCUGUGCUGAGGAAAAAAAGAAUUUGGAAGAAACCUACAUGGCCCCCAAGCUCUCAGAAGAUUACCCCACAUAGAGCUUUUGGAAUUACCUCGUGAUGAUUUCAAAGAAAAUUUUCUUCUCUACACACUCUUAUGACAAGGUAAAUUGAUGGAUUUCUAAUGAAUAAAUUUCAGGAGGAAAAUAGCA
rnacentral:lncRNA from 1 species